UGGGGAAUAUUGCACAAUGGGCGCAAGCCUGAUGCAGCCAUGCCGCGUGUAUGAAGAAGGCCUUCGGGUUGUAAAGUACUUUCAGCGAGGAGGAAGGCAUUAAGGUUAAUAACCUUGGUGAUUGACGUUACUCGCAGAAGAAGCACCGGCUAACUCCGUGCCAGCAGCCGCGGUAAUACGGAGGGUGCAAGCGUUAAUCGGAAUUACUGGGCGUAAAAGCGCACGCAGGCGGUCUGUCAAGUCGGAUGUGAAAUCCCGGGCUCAACCUGGAAGCUGCAUUCGAAACUGGCAGGCUAGAGUCUUGUAGAGGGA
rnacentral:rRNA from 1 species